rnacentral:rRNA from 1 species
UAGGGAAUCUUCGGCAAUGGGGGGAACCCUGACCGAGCAACGCCGCGUGAGUGAAGAAGGUUUUCGGAUCGUAAAGCUCUGUUGUUAAGGAAGAACGAGUGUGAGAAUGGAAAGUUCAUGCUGUGACGGUACUUAACCAGAAAGGGACGGCUAACUACGUGCCAGCAGCCGCGGUAAUACGUAGGUCCCGAGCGUUGUCCGGAUUCAUUGGGCGUAAAGCGAGCGCAGGCGGUUAGAAAAGUCUGAAGUGAAAGGCAGUGGCUCAACCAUUGUAGGCUUUGGAAACUGUUUAACUUGAGUGCAGAAGGGGAGAGUGGAAUUCCAUGUGUAGCGGUGAAAUGCGUAGAUAUAUGGAGGAACACCAGUGGCGAAGGCGACUCUCUGGUCUGUAACUGACGCUGAGGCUCGAAAGCGUGGGUAGCAAACAGG